rnacentral:lncRNA from 1 species
AAAAAAUUGAAAUGUGGGUGCAUUUCCAAGCCCCAUCUGCAUUCCCCCAAACUUAAAGUUUGCAUUGUCCUCAAUGCAUUAACAUGGAAAUGUAAUGACAAUAAAAAUGCAAUGACAAUGUGUACUUAUCAAAAUGAAACUUACAGCUACAUGUAAUGCACGAAUACUAUAGCUAAAGCUUAAAAUAAACUAACUCAGUUAUCAUCAGCCAUCGAUGUGGCUGCACGAUGUUUCUU